AGGCAGGGCAGAGUGAUGGGGUUAGUUAGAGCUCAACCACCAGUACUAUACAGUGAUGAGGUUAGUUAGAGCUCAACUACCAGUACUAUACAGAGUGAUGAGGUUAGUUAGAGCUCAACUACCAGUACUAUACAGAGUGAUGAGGUUAGUUAGAGCUCAACUACCAGUACUAUACAGAGUGAUGGGGUUAGUUAGAGCUCAACUACCAGUACUAUACAGAGUGAUGAGGUUAGUUAGAGCUCAACUACCAGUACUAUACAGAGUGAUGAGGUUAGUUAGAGCUCAACUACCAGUACUAUACAGAGUGAUGAGGUUAGUUAGAGCUCAACUACCAGUACUAUACAGAGUGAUGAGGUUAGAGCUCAACUACCAGUACUAUACAGAGUGAUGAGGUUAGUUAGAGCUCAACUACCAGUACUAUACAGAGUGAUGAGGUUAGUUAGAGCUCAACUACCAGUACUAUACAGAGUGAUGGGGUUAGUUAGAGCUCAACUACCAGUACUAUACAGAGUGAUGAGGUUAGUUAGAGCUCAACUACCAGUACUAUACAGAGUGAUGAGGUUAGUUAGAGCUCAACUACCAGUACUAUACAGAGUGAUGAGGUUAGUUAGAGCUCAACUACCAGUACUAUACAGAGUGAUGAGGUUAGUUAGAGCUCAACUACCAGUACUAUACAGAGUGAUGAGGUUAGUUAGAGCUCAACUACCAGUACUAUACAGAGUGAUGGGGUUAGUUAGAGCUCAACUACCAGUACUAUACAGAGUGAUGAGGUUAGUUAGAGCUCAACUACCAGUACUAUACAGAGUGAUGAGGUUAGUUAGAGCUCAACUACCAGUACUAUACAGAGUGAUGAGGUUAGUUAGAGCUCAACUACCAGUACUAUACAGAGUGAUGAGGUUAGAGCUCAACUACCAGUACUAUACAGAGUGAUGGGGUUAGUUAGAGCUCAACUACCAGUACUAUACAGAGUGAGGUUAGUUAGAGCUCAACUACCAGUACUAUACAGAGUGAUGAGGUUAGUUAGAGCUCAACUACCAGUACUAUACAGAGUGAUGAGGUUAGUUAGAGCUCAACUACCAGUACUAAACAGGUCAUAACCCUGAGAGUGAAGUUACAGAGAGCCCCAGUACAUGUCACGGGCCACCAAACACAGUGGCUUGGCCACUAAAAAUAAACUGCUAUAUAAAGGAGGAAAAGGGAGCGAUGGGUAGGGGA